rnacentral:lncRNA from 1 species
UGCCAUCUACGAUACUUCUUUCUGCAGAGCAUUUCUGAAAAACGCCAGCAUGGCCAAACAGCGAUUCGAAAGAGCUGCAAGACAGUGGAAUCCCAUAAACCACGCCAGUAGUGCAAGGAGCAUAUCUGUGGACAUGACUGGAGACACAUUUGUUCCCUUUCCCUGGCUGCUGACACAAUGCUCUAUCCACCAAAGUACACACAUUAUGCACUUUAUUACAUAAUGAGAAUGACAUGUUCAUGCAAUAACGAGCACCAACAUUUUUCAAACCAUGUGCUAUCCUGUGUAUGUAUGGGAUAACUGCCUGCCUCUUUUUCUUGCUAAUUUCUAGUGCACUAGAAUCACAAUGAUAAAACUUCUCGAUCUUUGAAAUAAGUUUUUCCGACAAGGAGCAAAUCACGUCACUCGGAAAGCCAGAAUUUGCAAGGCGAGCAACUUGUGCAUCAAAUGCAUGCGCCAUAAGGUGCUCGCGUAACUUCUGAAGAGCGGCACCCAGCAAAGUUGACACAAUGGCUUCCUGUAUGGUUUUGAGUGGUAUGGUAUGGUUUUGAGUGGUUUUGAGUGGCCAGAAUUGGCUUUAUGAAUCUAGGUUGGUAUUGCUAUAUAUGUGAUCUUUUACGAAAGCCUGUCUUAAAUCGAGAAACUGUAGCUCAUCAAUUUUUUGAAACUCCAAAGUGAAACGCUGACAUUUCGUUUUCCUUAACAUCUUUCUUCAUAUUAGCAACCAGUAAAGAGCAAUUGUUAAUGUCCAGUAUAAAUAAGAAGUCAUGGACAUAUCAAACAGCGUGUGAUGAUAACAAAUUCAAAUGCUUUUGCAGCUGCCCGUCUACAUACCCAAGAAAAAUAUAACUAAUUACAGGUAUAUUCAUAAUUCAAUGCAGAUACCAGAUUUUUGGACAAAAUUAUUUCCCUUCCAAAACACAACGGCAGAAUUUAGGUGGCCAGCAUGAGCUCUAAAAACGAUGCAAUAGAGAUGCCACACUGGCACUGAAACAACAACUCAUCAUUAUCUUCUCUCAUGCACUGCUUUAUACACUUCAAAUCUUCACAUUGGGGCAAACAAUAAAAUAAAUCUUUUACGUCUAUACCGAAUGCAUUACGGCACAAAGAAGGUUGUUCACUUAGUGAUAAGAUGAUAGAGACUCUGAGUUAGAAAUUCUUAGCGGAUCACAAGUCUUCAAACGCUCCGAAUUUCUUUGAAUAUACUCUGAAACAUUUA